rnacentral:rRNA from 1 species
AUUGAACGCUGGCGGCACGCUUUACACAUGCAAGUCGAACGGUAACAGGGAGCUUGCUCCGCUGACGAGUGGCGAACGGGUGAGUAAUGCGUCGGAACGUGCCGAGUAGUGGGGGAUAACGCAGCGUAAGUUGUGCUAAUACCGCAUACGUACUGAGGUAGAAAGUGGGGGACCUUCGGGCCUCACGCUAUUCGAGCGGCCGACGUCUGAUUAGCUAGUAGGUGAGGUAAAGGCUCACCUAGGCGACGAUCAGUAGCGGGUCUGAGAGGAUGAUCCGCCACACUGGGACUGAGACACGGCCCAGACUCCUACGGGAGGCAGCAGUGGGGAAUUUUGGACAAUGGGCGAAAGCCUGAUCCAGCCAUGCCGCGUGUCUGAAGAAGGCCUUCGGGUUGUAAAGGACUUUUGUCGGGGAGGAAAUCCCCAGCGCUAAUACCGCUGGGGGAUGACAGUACCUGAAGAAUAAGCACCGGCUAACUACGUGCCAGCCGCCGCAGUAAAAC